rnacentral:rRNA from 1 species
ACUCAAAUGAAUUGACGGGGGCCCGCACAAGCGGUGGAGUAUGUGGUUUAAUUCGAAGCAACGCGCAGAACCUUACCUACCCUUAACAUCCCAGGACGAUGGCAGAGAUGUCAUUUUUUCUUCGGAAACCUGGAGAUAGGUGCUGCAUGGCUGUCGUCAGCUCGUGUCGUAAGAUGUCUGGUUAAGUCCAAUAACGAGCGCAACCCUUAUCGUUAGUUACCAUCAUUAAGUUGGGUACCCUAGCGAGACUGCCGGUGUUAAACCGGAGGAAGGCGGGGAUGACGUCAAGUCCUCAUGGCCCUUACGGGUAGGGCUACACACGUACUACAAUGGCAGAAACAGACUGACGCAAAACCGCGAGGUGGAGCAAAUCGGUAAAACACUGUCUCAGUCCGGAUUGCAGUCUGCAACUCGACUGCAUGAAGCUGGAAUCGCUAGUAAUCGCUGAUCAGCAAGCAGCGGUGAAUACGUUCUCGGGCCUUGCACACACCGCCCGU